rnacentral:lncRNA from 1 species
AGGAGCCGCGCGGAGGGAAGGGGAAGUGCUGGCUCUCGCCGCCGCUGCAGAGAUGGAGCCGAGAUACGGGGCAGGCAGGCACCGAGCGGCAGGAGAGGGAGGCUGGCGGCGGCUGGCUGCCGAGCUGAGCCCAGGUUGGACUGGUUGCUGAUGGACGGCUUCUAGCAGCAGCUCCUUCAGACAGCCGGCCGGGGAAGGGAACAGCUCGAUGUAUAUAGCCUGCCUUUAACUCCUUCCCUCACAAGCACGCGUAGGACAAGCAUCUGUCACAACAUCUCUCCGGCAGCCAAUUGGACAAGCGGCGGCGCUUCCAGUCCUGCCACUCAGCUGCUCCCUUGCGGGACUGGAAAGGUUUUGUUGUUUGAACCCUUCGCCACAGCGCGUGGGGAGCACAAAGGCGGAUCUCUAAGUCCUUGUGAUCCAAAACAACACGCAUCCGAAGAGAAGUAUUUUAAAAGCACGAUUACACACACUCUGCAUUUUUGGCCUUAAGGGAAAAAAUGAACCCCCACCCACAGACGUCCCAGCCUCCUCGCCUGGUGCCUGCAGUUACGCUCUGAGUAAAUAGUUCCCACACAUGGUCCACAUUUUGCACAGCAGCAGCGUGUUUCCUCUCGGUCUCUCGUUGCUGUUUUCUGAGCAAGAAAGAGAUUUAGAGGAAGUUAAAAUCAGGCGAGCUGAGAAAGGACUCUCUGUGUUACACACAUCCUGAGUGAAAGCGAAAGCCCAGCAUUU